AUUUACAUGAACACGGAUGCCAGGCAGUGAUGUUCAUACAUACCUUCCAAAGAGGAGCAGUGCUUGAUGAUUUGAGAGAUGGUGCGAUUGACAGCGUUGGAAAAGGCAGUGUGCUAUCCAGAGAAUGGAUAUAAAACUUCCUCAUGCAGCUUUGCCUGUGUGCUGCAGCUCAUCAGGACCACAACAAAAAAGUGAAAGAACUUGAGACCAUCUUUCUGUGGUGUCUUUAUUGAGGCAUGAAAGUGGACCCAGCUGUUUCUUUGGGGAGGACAUCAAGCCUGGGGCGGUGCUGCAGGGAGGAGACGGACCAUUUCUCCCAUCCUGCUAACACAGCCACUGCAGAGUCCCAUCCUGUGCCUGAGCCGUGCCCGAGGGCUCUUCUCCUGUUUGCCCGUCCCUUUGUACAUUACUGCUGCCCUCCCAGCCAGCCCCUCCCAUUCUCCCACCUCAGGGCAGCAUUUUGCACUCACCCCCCACACUGAUGCCUUCGUGUGGAUCAAAGCCUCACACCGGGGUACACAGCUGUCUCACACCUCGA